rnacentral:lncRNA from 1 species
AGCAGAUCUAAGAAUGCUGAGCGCGAUGUCGGCAGAGGGGAAACUAAUUGGCCAUGGUAGCCUCCCAGUGCUCCAGAAGAGGGAUGAGGCGGUGAAAAGAAGAGGGUUGGCUGAAAGUCAGUUUCCGAAGCGGAAGCCAGCUGCUGUGUUGUGAGCUGCCCUAUGGAGAAGCCCAUGUGGUAAGGAACUGAGGCGUCGGAGCAACAGUUGCAUGAGUGAGUUUGGAAGCAGAUCCUUCAACCCAGCCAAGCCUUCGGAUGACUUCAGCCAUAGUGAACUAAAACGUCAUGAGACCCUGAGCCAGAACCACCUAGCUAAGCUACUCUUGGAUUCCUGACCUCAGAAACUGUCCCAGUACAUGGUUAUAUAGCCUGGUUGUAAGUCCUUCUCGUUCUUCUACGUGAGCUGCUGCCACAGCAUGGCAACUGAACGGACGAGUGGUGUAGUUUCAGGACCCGGAAAUGAACGUGGGCCGCCAAAGUGGUAAGAGCACCGAACUUUAACCUCUAGACCAUCAGGGCUGGCUCCAAAGUAGCUUACCUUUUAAAGCACUACCACUGUCACUGUAUUUCUCUUGGGGACUUGAAAAUUUGCUUUUUAUCACCCAACACAACUUCAUUAAUUUAGCUAACCAGCCAAGGAAGUGUUUUAACUUUGAAACCUAUUGUUUUAUAUGAACUUUAGAGCAGGCUUUUUUUGAGGAAGAUUAGCCCUGAGCUAACAUCUGCAGCCAAUCCCCCUCUUUUUGCUGAGGAAGACUGGCCCUGAGCUAACAUCCAUGCCCAUCUUCCUCUACUUUAUAUUUGGGAUGCCUACCACAGCAUGACUUGCCAAGCAGUGCCAUGCCCACACCCAGGAUCUGAACCAGCGAACCCCAGGCCACCGAAGCAGAAUGUGCGCACUUAACUGCUGCGCCACCAAGCCGGCCCCUAGAACAGGCUUUCGAGACUGAAACUGGAGAUCAAGUAACCUAAGCUGAAUUUGGGGAGAAAUGUAUCAUAAAGCAUGCAACUGAGAACAUUUAAGCAUUAUGGCAGGAAGUAAAACGGCGUCAUAUCUGUGCAGUAGGACAGAACUUUUACCGCAUCGUGCAAAUAACUCUAUGGGAUUCAAAUCUAAUGUAAAUGGAGCUAAAGGUGCUGCCCGUGG